rnacentral:rRNA from 1 species
AUGNACAAUGGGGGAAACCCUGAUGCAGCGANGCCGCGUGAGUGAAGAAGUAUUUCGGUAGUUAAAGCUCUAUCAGCAGGGAAGAUAAUGACGGUACCUGACUAAGAAGCCCCGGCUAACUACGUGCCAGCAGCCGCGGUAAUACGUAGGGGGCAAGCGUUAUCCGGAUUUACUGGGUGUAAAGGGAGCGUGGGUGGCAGGGCAAGUCAGAUGUGAAAACCCGGGGCUCAACCCCGGAAGUGCAUUUGAAACUGUCCAGCUGGAGUGCAGGAGAGGUAAGCGGAAUUCCUAGUGUAGCGGUGAAAUGCAUAGAUAUUAGGAGGAACACCAGUGGCGAAGGCGGCUUACUGGACUGUAACUGACACUGAGGCUCGAAAGCGUGGGGAGCAAACAGG